UAGUCCACGCCGUAAACGAUGAGUACUAAGUGUUGGAAGUCAAAUUUCAGUGCUGCAGUUAACGCAAUAAGUACUCCGCCUGAGUAGUACGUUCGCAAGAAUGAAACUCAAAGGAAUUGACGGGGGCCCGCACAAGCGGUGGAGCAUGUGGUUUAAUUCGAAGCAACGCGAAGAACCUUACCAGGUCUUGACAUACUUAUAAAGGCUCUAGAGAUAGAGAGAUAGCUAUAUGAGAUAC
rnacentral:rRNA from 1 species